rnacentral:rRNA from 1 species
GACGAACGCUGGCGGCGUGCCUAAUACAUGCAAGUAGAACGCUGAAGAGAGGAGCUUACUCUUCUUGGAUGAGUUGCGAACGGGUGAGUAACGCGUAGGUAACCUGCCUUGUAGCGGGGGAUAACUAUUGGAAACGAUAGCUAAUACCGCAUAACAAUGGAUGACACAUGUCAUUUAUUUGAAAGGGGCAAUUGCUCCACUACAAGAUGGACCUGCGUUGUAUUAGCUAGUAGGUGAGGUAAUGGCUCACCUAGGCGACGAUACAUAGCCGACCUGAGAGGGUGAUCGGCCACACUGGGACUGAGACACGGCCCAGACUCCUACGGGAGGCAGCAGUAGGGAAUCUUCGGCAAUGGGGGCAACCCUGACCGAGCAACGCCGCGUGAGGGAAGAAGGUUUUCGGAUCGUAAAGCUCUGUUGUAAGUCAAGAAAGGGUGUGAGAGUGGAAAGUUCACACUGUGACGGUAGCUUACCAGAAAGGGACGGCUAACUACGUG